rnacentral:rRNA from 1 species
UAGGGAAUCUUCGGCAAUGGACGAAAGUCUGACCGAGCAACGCCGCGUGAGUGAAGAAGGUUUUCGGUUCGUAAAACUCUGUUGUUAGAGAAGAACAAGGACGUUAGUAACUGAACGUCCCCUGACGGUAUCUAACCAGAAAGCCACGGCUAACUACGUGCCAGCAGCCGCGGUAAUACGUAGGUGGCAAGCGUUGUCCGGAUUUAUUGGGCGUAAAGCGAGCGCAGGCGGUUUCUUAAGUCUGAUGUGAAAGCCCCCGGCUCAACCGGGGAAGGUCAUUGGAAACUGGGGGACUUGAGUGCAGAAGAGGAGGGUGGAAUUCCAUGUGUAGCGGUGAAAUGCGUAGAUAUAUGGAGGAACACCAGUGGCGAAGGCGGCUCUCUGGUCUGUAACUGACGCUGAGGCUCGAAAGCGUGGGGAGCAAACAGG